UGCCCCUGGUAGCGUCUGCCAGUAGCUGCACUGAAAGGGUCUACCAAGGGUACACUAUGGACAUUUUUCAUUUAAAGGUGAAAGAUUUUUAAAAAUGCAUUGCUAAGAAACAUCCCUGGCUGGGCGUGGUGGCGCACACCUGUAAUUCCAGCACUUUGGGAGGCCGAGGCAGGUGGAUCACUUGAGGUCAGGAGUUUGAGACCAGCCUGGCCAAUGUAGUAAAACCUCGUUUCUACUAAAAACACAAAAAUUAGCCAGGCGUAGUGGCUCAUGCCUGUAAUCCCAGCUCCUCGGGUGGCUGAGGCAGGAGAAUCACUUGAACUCAGAAGGUGGCGAUUGUAGUGAGCUGAGAUCACACCACUGCACUCCAGCCUGGGCAACAGAGUAAGACUCUGUCUCAAAAAAAGAAAAGAAAAGAAAAGAAAGGAAACAUUCCUUUUAUCAAAUAAGAAAUAAAUAUUUUUCAAAAAUUAAAAAAAAUGCUCAGAGGAUUACCGGGUACUUUGUGAAUAAAUGUUUUCCCUACAGACUUGGAUAAGCUAAGCUGGGAUCCACGCAGCAGGAGGGAUUGCCCUGUGUGCUAGGCAAGGCUGGCAUCAGUGACAGCAGCGUCAGGCUGUGCUCGGAUCACGGGCCCAUCUGUAGUUAUACUUUUUAAAUUUUUUUUCUUUUUUUGUUUUUGUAGAGAUAGAAUCUCACUGUGUUGCCCAGGCUGGUCUCAAACUCCUUGCCUUGAUUUGGCCUCCCAAACCAAUCUAUGUUUUAUUCUUUUUUUUUUUUUUUUUUUUUUUGAGACAAAGUCUGGCUCUGUCACCCAGGCUGGAGUGCAGUGGCACGAACUCAGCUCACUGCAACCUCCACCUCCCUGGUUCAAGUGAUUCUCCUGCCUCAGCCUCCCGAGUAGCUGGGACUACAGGCACAUGCCACCACGCCGGGCUAAUUUUUGUAUUUUUAGUAGAGAUGGGGUUUCACCAUGUUGGCCAGGCUGGUCUCGAACUCCUAACCUCAGGCAAUCUGCCCACAUCAGCCUCCCAAAGUACUGGGAUUACAGGCAUGAGCCACUGCACCUGGCCUAAAAGUUUAUUUUCCAUCAGUCUGCAUUCUCCAAUUUUUUAAAGUCAGAAUUUUAUUGUUUUGUUGCUGUUAUUAGAGACAAGAUCUCACUCUGUCACCCGGGCUGGGGGGCAGUGGCAUAGUCACAGCUCACUGCAGCCUCAAACUCCCGGGCUCAAGCCAUCUUCCCACCUCAGCCUCUCCAGUAGCUGGGACUACAGGCGCACGCCAUCACCCUGGCCAAUUUUUUUUUUGUAAAGACAGGGUCUUGGUAUGUUGCCCAGGCUGGUCUUGAACUCCUGGCUCAAGCGAUCCUUCCACCUUGGCCUCCCGCAGUGCUGGGAAUACAGGCAUGAGCGAUCAUGCCUGGCCUUAAGUGAGAAUUCUUAUGUGUCCUUUUCUUUUCUUUUCUUUUCUUUUCUUUUCUUUUCUUUUUUUUUUCUUUUUUCUGUCCCUCUCUCUCUCUCUCUCUCUCUCUCUCGUCGCCAGGCUGGAGUACACUGGCACAAUGUCUGUUCACGGCAACCUCUGCUUCCCAGAUUGAAGCGAUUCUCCUGCCUUAGCCUCCCAAGCAGGACUAUACAGGCUUGUGCCACCACGUCUGGCUAAUUUUUGUAUUUUUAGUAGAGAUGGGGUUUCACCACAUUGGCCAGGAUGGUCCGAUCUCCUGACCUCAUGACCCCCCCGCCUCAGCCUCUCAAAGUGGGAUUAUAUGUGUGAGCCACCGCCCCGGCCCUCACGUGUCAUUUCUUUUUAUAGGAAGGAACCAAUUUUAAAAGAAAGCCAAUUUAAGAGUUCAGCUUUUAGGUUUUAUAUCUAUAUAAACUAUAUCAUUUCAGACUUUCAAAAUUAUAUAUAUAUGCAAUCCAUGCUUAUAGAAAAUUGAAAAAUACAAAAAUAUAGAAAUGUGAGAAGGAGAAAAGCCACAUAGAACUCUCCACAAAGGUGACAGUGAAUGUCAUUUCAGUGCGUUUUCCUCCUGUUUUCUUUUAAAAAAAAUCUAUAGCAGGGACUUGGCUGAAACCUUGUAUUUGCAUAUUCACAACUGCUGGUGAUCAGAAUCACAACUGGUUACGGGCUUAAAUACUUAAAAAAGAAAUACCCCUUUUCUGUGAAUGAUCUGUUUAAGUGGGUAAAGUGCUCUGCCACCCUAAGUUAGGAGUUUAUAUCUGUGACACUCCUUCCCUCCAGCGAAACAGCAAAGGGAGGUGGUCAGGGAAGUUCCAGGAAUGCAGGCCUCUGGCCCCAGAGUGGGGGAGGGGCCGUGGAUGCUGACAGUUGGGGGCCCAGCGGGGACAGUCCCAAGCAGCAUGGCUGGGUGUCUGUGGUUCCCUCCUAUCAAGAAGGAACCUCUCCACCCUUCUUCAAAGUGGGCAGAAUCCUGACACCCACCCCACCAGCUGGAUGAGUAUCAGCCAAGUCAUCGCUGACCCCGGAGUUGGGCUGACCUUCCUUGGCCACCCAGAUGCCGACGCCUGACGCCCCUGUAGCCUGGAACUGCUGGGUGUGCCUGUGCCUUCUCCCUCUCACCCUGCCGGGAGUUCUGAGUUCCUUCUCCAAGGAGGGCUGUGCCCUAGACUUCCGGGCCACUUCCCUCUACCCUUCUCCAGGAAAUAACUUAGCUACUUCAUGCCCUAAUUGAAUUCCAUUGCAUUUUUUCUUCUUAAAAUAAAAGACUAAAAACUAA